CGUGGCCCAGCCCUUUGAUCAAACCCGGGCAUUAUAUAAAGACAACUGCUUUAAAUAUCAAGGUCUCGGAGUCAGUUUGGCGCUCCUGUUCCGCAGUGUUCUCUGUCAGAAGAAUUAUGCCUUCCCGCUGAAGGUUUCUUCUCUCUCCCUUGAAGCGGCCGGGCCUCUAACUGGACUUUCCUGUUUUGGAAAGGGCUGUUUGGAGAUGGGCAAAUCCUGACCCUAACCCCAGCUUUUUGUUUCUGGUGGCUGUGGCUGCCAGCACUGCUUUGCAUAUUCCCACGGUGAAAAGAGAAUCUACCACUGGCCACUCAGGCUCUACAAAGAUGUCCUUGAAAGAAUGAAUCGGCUCAGAACCAGGACUUCAGCCACUCCGUCCUUGGGUCAGCCUCUCUGGCUGGGUCUGCUCUAUUAAAAAAAAAAAAAAUCAGAAAUCUGAGACCAGUUAUGGUGUGGCACACCUGUAAUCCCAGAACUCGGGAAGCAGAGACGGGAGACUCCUGGGCUGAAGCCAGUUUGAGAUGCAGAGUGAGUGCCUGGGCUACACGCCUAGAGCUUGUUUCACCUGUGUCCAGAGAGCAGGGGAUCAGGGUUAGCUAUGAGAGAAGACUGGAAACCCCUCCCUACCAGGACUCAUAGUAACAAACUUGAGCAUGUGACUCCAGCGGAGCUCCGCUCAGGGCCUGUAAAUUAACACACAAGGACGGAGAACGCGGGGCACAUGACUGAGUCUCUGUCUGCACCUGUCUUUGUGGUGAACUAGCUCGCUUCUGUCCUCGCUCAGGAGCGCUUCUUUCCUUCAUAGGAAACUGCCUCUGUUUCUAUUGAUCUGUAUCCCUGAGCCAGCGCAUUGUUCAAACACAAGAAACUGGAAAUCUUGCUGGGCUGUGGUGCACGCCUUUGACCCCAGAUUAAGAUUGAGGCCUGCCUGGUCUACAGAGCUAAUUCCAGGACAGCCAGGGCUACAGAGAAACAAACAAGAAACUGGAAAUCUCAGUGGGUGCUCUCUGGACUCUGGUUCAUGUGUUAUAACAUUAGGAAGAAAAAUGCUAGCCUCUUAAACUUGAAAAGCUCUAUAUCAGAUUUAUAAAUCCUGUCAUUCCCUCUGAAUUCCCUAGAAAGAAUGUGCUUGACCAGGCCAUGAACGAAUACUACACAUUUCAUCAGCUUCAAGAAACAGCUAAGCUGGCAGAGUGAAUGGACAUACUCCUUGACAGAAUGUCUUGGGUGGAUGGAAACAUUGCCAUUUGUAACUCGCUGUUACUGAGUACCAACAAGGCCAGAUGAAUACUUUUCAGUAUUUAUUCAGAGGAAACAUAAUGGCAACUCUACCUCUAGAAAGAUCUAGUUCUCUUUGACCCGCAGCCACUUCUUUUCCCUAGUGGAAGUUACAAGAAACAGAAGUACAGCCUGGGCACCGGAACCCGGUUAGCUCCUAGUACUACAUACUUGGCUCUCUGCCUGACGGUGGCUUUGCACAGUCAGGACUGAACUACAGACACGGGGAACAUGCUGAGAACGUGUCCUGAAAUUACAUCUCUAACUGGUGAGACCUCUCCGAGUCCCCUAGUAGCUGAACUCAGCAGAUCUGUGCCACAAUAGCCCUGUCUCUCCUAGCUCAGGGAGAAGUUCUAGAUAUCAGAGGGUGAUCGAGGGACCAGAAUCGGCUGGUAUUUUCAGAUGCAUACCGAACCCCCUCUGGUGGACCACGCUGCCCUCAUUUCUGAAGACGUGUUCUGUGAUUCCCUGCCGUGACAGCUCCUAGAACCUCCUUUAGAAGCCAGGAGCACUCUGAGCCCGGAGUUUCCAGUAACCCUGGACUCGGGGCCACCAGCACAUCAUAAUGUACGUCCAGCCCGUGAGUGCUUGGGGUGUGCUGCUGAAAUGCCUGCCAGUGAACGAAGCUGAUUUCUCAGCUACGCAGUGUCUGGAGUGGCUUCCAGGACUCGGACUCCGAGAGCAGAUUUCAUAGUGACGCAUGCGGGCACGCAGGGGUCAGCCGUGUUAAAAAUAAGGGUGACUAAGCCUUUUCAAGGGAACCGGAGAUUUCCAGGAGUGAUGCGAUGCGCUGGUCUCUAUUCUGAUUGAGUCUCAACGCCGCUCUCCAGGCUUCUCAGCCACCUAUGCUCAUGCUUGUAGCUGAUUGGCUCAGGUUUGCCCAGGACCUUUGAAGGGCUUCCAGAGCUAGGAGCUUAUCCAGGGACCGUUGUUACCUCUGCUAAGAUGGAGUCUAGAGACAAAAAGGGACUCUCCCUGGCCCUGACUCCACUCUGAGUCAGGUGCCUCAGCCGUCACUUGGCCGUGUCAUCCUGGUCAUGUUGCCUGAUCGAACGUUCAGCUUCGUUAGUGUGGGCCUUGAGGCAGGAAUCAAACCAGCUUCUUGGUGCCGUGGAAUAAGACGGGUGAAGUACUUACAGCAAUCCCCGGCGCACGAGGAGUCACUAACAAACACAGGUUGCCACCACUACUGCUGCAGUCCCUGGACUCGGACCUAAAAAUGCUAACUCAUUGUGAAGAUCGGCACAAAUCUCACCAAGUGGGAAAGGUGCUGAAAACUAGUGCCAAUGCAAGGGAGACAAAAGGGCAGGGAGGCCCCUCCUCUGCUUUCGUCUUGCACAAACUCUCCAAAAGCGGGUUUCCUCUUCCCCAGAGCUGGGAGUGGCCGCCAGUGUUUGCCUAGCACAGACAACCUGGGGCUGAUCCUGACGGAAACUCAGUACGGUAGGCCUAACCCUGCCAGGCAAGAAUAAGACCAUUAUUUUAAGUAACAUAUGAAGCAAGCUUUGAUGAAAUACUGGCCAGGUUGGUGGACUCUGGCCAGGACCACUCCAGGGUUCCCAGGAAAUGGCCACCCGUUUUAUGGCCCCGUAUUUCCCGUCAGCUCCAAACAGGGGCUAGCAUAUGCCCUGCUGUAUUUCCUGUGCGUGUACCUCCUGCCUUCCGGGAUCAAGCAGCUCCCUAUACUUGGGUCAAACAAACUUGUUUAGGGAGAUAAAAUAUGUGCCUUGUUAUCUCCUUUAAGAAAAUAGUCUCCUGCAUUUCAGGAAGUAUCUCUCCUCCGGCAAAGGCUAACAGGUUAGAGGCAUUUUUGUUGCAUGGAUCUCCCAGGCACAGCAAUUAAAACUUAAAACAUAACUUUGGCUUUCACUGUAGUACAAUGCUGUAAUCCCAGCAUUGGAGAAGUAGAGGCAGGAAGAGCAAGGAAUUCAAGGGCAGCCUCAUCUACAUAACAGGUUUGGGCUAGCCUGGGCUAAUAAGAUCUAUAUAUUCUACUAGGUGCAAAAGACAGGAAAGAAAAGAAACUGACAAAUAUAUAUAUAUAUAUACAUAUGUUGAGAAAACAGAACCCAAAUAUAAGUACAGAGAAGAAGCUAAAACUGUUUACAAAGCAGCAUGUUUAAGCCACAUUAAUUAUUGCAUAUAAUAGCCAGCAGCAUCCCCAUUGGCCCCUCAUUGAGACUCACAUCAUUACCCUAAAGAAUGAAACUGGUGUCGACACCCUGCCACACUCACAUCAGUUCUAGCUGGAAUAACGAUUAAAGCUAUGAUCAUGCUGCAUUUGAAGUCUUGACUUCGUGAGUAUGACCGAGAGCUUGUGAAAAGAGGUGAAACUGUCUAAGCCUUCGGGGAGUGAAUGACUGGCACACAGCUGUGGCAGCCGUCAAUCACAGGCUUCUGGGCCCGCAGCCCUUCCUGCUAACUCUCAGAAAUCCACACAGAGCCAGUCUCCUGUGGAGCUCUAAGCUGUUCAGGAAAAGCGUGCAUUGAGCGGUGAUUCCUAUUCCUCUUACUCUCCACGUUCAGCUGUGGACAUCCACAUUCUAGCUAAAAUGUUCAGAAGACGAGAAGAUGGAGUGCAUGCUGGAGCUUGAUGUCUGCUGCGUGAGACAGGCCCACAGAAGCCUGGAGCUUGAUGUCUGCUGCGAGAGACAGGCCCACAGAAGCCUGGAGCUUGAUGUCUGCUGUGAGAGACAGGCCCACAGAAGCCGCGGGGAAGUUGGACCUGCCAUCUCCUGCACAUGGGCUUAGCAGGGAAAGCACAGGUCCCAGUUUCCCAAAGAAUGGCUGGUGUUUCUGUCCCUGCAGUGGACACCCAGGGAAGAAGGAAGAGUCUGGGUUAAAGGCAGACUCCAGAUGGUCAGUGCACGGGGUCAAUCAAUAUCAGUAAGAACAAACAUGUCAAAGGCAGUUAGGGUGACAAAGCCAAGUAGUGCAGGCCUUGAACUUGGAGUUACAAUCAGGCCUCUGCGGUCUAGUCUCUGGAAGACCGUGAACAAAUCGUCUUACAUCUCAGCCUCCUCUUCUUUACCCGUGAAACACUAAUACCUCUCAGGACCUCAAAUGGCAUUUGGGAAAUUAGAUGAAUGCCUUUAAGAUAAUUAUCAUAGGAUUUCUAUACCAUAAUUACCAUUGUCAGGGGUUUGGGGAGAUGAGGUUAAAUAAUUGGCACGCAUGACUGAGAGGUCUGUCUGGUGAACCCCAAAUCUGAAAGAGGAAACCUGCAGGCAAAAGGCUCAAGAAAGACGUCGAAGGCUACAGAGCCAGAACGGCUAAUGUUUCUUGAUGAAGCCCUAGUGCUGUGUGCUGGGUAGACAGGCCUUUCAUUCUGCCUAGUCCUCAGUGUGCCCGCGUUCUGAAAGGCAGUCUGUUCUGCUCACAGUCCUGAUUUAGGUGUAAAUCUCACCCAAAACAUGAAACAUGCUGAAUGUUUGACCAGCUGCCUGGACCACUGGUCCAGCCAAGUCGCCACCACGAGGUCUGGACUCACAGUAAGUGCUCAGGAAAUGCUACGUUUAGUUACUCUCAUGAAAACGAAAAGGGAACGUCUCUCCUCCUGUGGACUCAGUGUGGUUAGACAUAAUUGGCAUACCCAGGGUUAAAGAGAGGGAAAUGGGCAUGGUCUAAAGAGAAACAGACAGAACCAACCGCACUGUUAUUAAACUAAACCAUUAUCUGAAAGCCCUUCUUUCAGAUCGUGAAAAAGGAACAAGGACCACAUACACAAUAGUUGUCUGUACCCCAUCUGGGAAAGAGAUUAUCAGUGUCAUAAUUACCAGGUAGGUUUGAGAAAGAAUGCAACUGUAUUUUCUAAACUAACGGGUCUUUCUUUCCGAGAUGAGGAAGGUCAAACCUUUACCUCAACUGCUGUCCAUGGGAUUCUUUGAGCAAACCCCUCAUUCUUGGUUCCCAACUACCCCCACUGCAAGGAAAGGCUUUGAGGAUUUCAGGGUGGGAGCAAAUGUGAGCUGUCCACCCAGGAGAUGCUGAAGGAGCCACAUCUCCUCAGACCAGAAUGAUAAAGAUGAGGCUACAGAGGCAAGACUGAGUUUCUUGCAAACAGUUUAAAAUUACCUUUGCUUGUUUUUGUUUGUUUGUUUGGUUGGUUUGUUUUGGUUUUUUGUUACACAGGGUUUCUCUGUGUAACAAGUCCUGGCUGCCCUGGACUCACAUUGUAGACCAGGCUGGCCUCAAACUCACAGAGAUCUCCCUGUCUCUGCCUUCCUAGUGCUGGAAUUAAAGGCGUGCACCACCAUACCUGGCAAUAGUUUUGUUUUAUGUGAUGAUAUGUAUACUCAUUUGUGAGCCAUAUAUUAAAAACUGAUACAUGUGUGCAACAUAUAAGGAUGGAAUCAAAGUAAUCUCUAUUUCCCUGACUGCGAGUUUUAUUUCUGUGUGUUGAGGGCUUUUCUGGUUAUUUUGAAAUCUAUAAUUAAAUGUUGCAAAUCACUA